UUCAGAUCCUUACAAGGCCCUUCUCAUGAAAGAAGGAUUUCCCACCACAGGCCCCAGCAUGAAACAGGCCAGGAAGAAACAAAGUACUCUGAGUGAAUCCCAGAGAGCAUAUACCAGAAUAGGGAACCCUGAGAUCAUACCCCAAGGCAAUAUUCCACCUAGGGAACAUAGAGAAUUUGAGGUCUAAGGAGAGCCCCAACUGGACUCAGCCCCUGACUCUGGACAGUCACGAUCACCAGUCAUGAUCACCACCAGGAUGUCAAAACGAAGAUGACAACAAGCCUAAACUGAAGUUUCAUGACCCCUGAUGUCUUGGAUUGUCAUCCUAUCCCUCAACAGCAAUCUAGUCGAACCCUUGCCUUGCCUUGCCUAAGCGGCCUGACCAUCAUUAUGUCACACAACAGCACAAGAAAGAAAUUUUCAAUGCUCAAUUAUCAGGUCAAUAAUUCAUAAAUGAAUUAUUAUGGUCCAACUUCCUACCCAGUGAUCAGUGCAGGAAAUUCAGAGCUCCCAAACAGAUGUCUGGCUAGCAACAGCAUGAAGACUUCCAGAAAGGGAAAGCUCACCAUGCCCCUUCGUAAUUCAUUCCAUUGUCAAACUGUUCUUACCAUUAAAAUGU